rnacentral:tRNA from 1 species
UCCCUGCUGGUCCAGUGGCUAGGACUCUGUGCUCCCAAUGCAGGGGGCCUGGGUUUGAUCCCUGGUUGGGGA